AGAUGUGAGAGCAAUUUGGCCGAGACAUCUGUUGCCCCUUUGUUCAUCAGCGAUGAAGCUACUGAUCUGAUUGGGGAGGCAGACGCCCCCUUCCUCACUGUUCCCUGUGUACCCCUCCCCCCGAGGCUGCACAUGUGGAAACCCUGGCAGCUAAACAGGAAGAGAAGGCAUGGUCUUGGGUGAGUUUGUCUUAGGAAAGAGUAGAGAGAAAGGGGAGAGGGGGCCCUGGGACCAAGUUU
rnacentral:sRNA from 1 species